rnacentral:rRNA from 1 species
UGAGGAAUAUUGCGCAAUGGGGGCAACCCUGACGCAGCAACGCCGCGUGAGUGAGGAAGGUUUUCGGAUCGUAAAGCUCUGUCGAGUGGGAAGAAAUGUAUCAUGGCUAAUAUCCAUGGUAUUUGACGGUACCGCUAAAGGAAGCACCGGCUAACUCCGUGCCAGCAGCCGCGGUAAUACGGGGGGUGCAAGCGUUGUUCGGAAUUAUUGGGCGUAAAGAGCGUGUAGGCGGCUGAAUAAGUCAGAUGUGAAAUCCCUGGGCUUAACCCAGGACGUGCAUUUGAAACUGUUCAGCUUGAGUAGGGGAGAGGAAAGUGGAAUUCCUGGUGUAGAGGUGAAAUUCGUAGAUAUCAGGAGGAACACCGGUGGCGAAGGCGACUUUCUGGCCCUAUACUGACGCUGAGACGCGAGAGCGUGGGUAGCAAACA